rnacentral:rRNA from 1 species
GAUGAACGCUGGCGGCGUGCCUAAUACAUGCAAGUCGAGCGAAGCGGGGACGGGUGAGGAACACGUGGAUAACCUCCUAUAAGGCUGGGAUAACUUCGGGAAAACGGUGCUAAACCCGCUACUUAUCCAUGGUUCCGCUUUGCAUUAGCUAGUGUGUAAGGUAACGGCUGACCAAGGCAACGAUGCAUAGCCGACCUGAGAGGGUGAUCGGCCACACGGGAACUGAGACACGGUCCAGACUCCGACGGGAGGCAGCAGUAGGGAAUCUUCCGCAAUGGGCGAAAGCCUGACGGAGCAACGCCGCGUGAGUGAUGAAGGUCUUCGGAUCGUAAAACUCUGUUAUUAGGGAAGCGGUACCUAAUCAGAAAGCCACGGCUAACUACGUGCCAGCAGCCGCGGUAAUUC